rnacentral:rRNA from 1 species
UACGUAGGGGGCAAGCGUUGUCCGGAUUUAUUGGGCGUAAAGAGCGUGUAGGCGGUUAUGCAGGUCCGCUGUGAAAACUGGAGGCUUAACCUCCAGACGUCGGUGGAAACCGUAUGACUAGAGUCCGGAAGAGGAGAGUGGAAUUCCUGGUGUAGCGGUGAAAUGCGCAGAUAUCAGGAGGAACACCCGUGGCGAAAGCGGCUCUCUGGGACGGUACUGACGCUGAGACGCGAAAGCGUGGGGAGCGAACAGG